rnacentral:rRNA from 1 species
AGUGAAUGCUGGCGGUAGGCCUAACACAUGCAAGUCGAACGGCAGCACAGUAAGAGCUUGCUCUUACGGGUGGCGAGUGGCGGACGGGUGAGGAAUACAUCAGAAUCUACUUUUUCGUGGGGGAUAACGUAGGGAAACUUACGCUAAUACCGCAUACGACCUACGGGUGAAAGCAGGGGAUCUUCGGACCUUGCGCGAUUGAAUGAGCCGAUGUCGGAUUAGCUAGUUGGCGGGGUAAAGGCCCACCAAGGCGACGAUCCGUAGCUGGUCUGAGAGGAUGAUCAGCCACACUGGAACUGAGACACGGUCCAGACUCCUACGGGAGGCAGCAGUGGGGAAUAUUGGACAAUGGGCGCAAGCCUGAUCCAGCCAUACCGCGUGGGUGAAGAAGGCCUUCGGGUUGUAAAGCCCUUUUGUUGGGAAAGAAAAGCAGCAGGUUAAUACCCCGCUGUUCUGACGGUACCCAAAGAAUAAGCACCGGCUAACUUCGUG